UGGAUCCCUAAGUGAUUAAGAUUAACAGAGGCUCCUCUCCCUCAACCUCCGACAAAAUAGUGAAGGUACUGUAGUGUGAGGAAGAAAACAAAUUUCAUUUAGGCACAGACUUUGGGGGUUUGUUACCACAGCACAACCCACCUGAUACACCUAUCCUGACUGAUACGGAAGUUGCUACCAGAAAUGGAAAACCGAUAAAGAACAAAAACCUAAAAUACAUGGCAUUGGAUUAGGGCCUGGCAGCAGGUGGCAACGAAACUGUGAUGAGAGGAUGGAAGGGUGGUGAUCCAUGUUAUGAAAAAGUGAAACUUCAGUCACACGAUAACUUGGAAGGUAGGUAAUGUGACAAUGAACUUGUGGUCUUAGGAGAAGUUGGAAAACAGUGUUGGUAGCAUGUAUUGGCAGCUUCAUUUCUGUUUGAUAAUUUACGUCAAGAAACACGUGGGUUCAGAAAAGAGCUGACCAGUUUACAAGCAGAAAUAAAUGCAGAGAGGAACAAGGAAUCAAGCAAGGAAGUGACUAUAAUGAUGAGCCAUGAAAUCUCAGCCAGCUCUUCGUCCCACGUGACAAAGACGAACACUCUGCCAUGUACAAUGGCUGUUGCACACAAAAGAAUUUUGUGAUGUUUUCAGGCAGCCGAGCCCUCCAUGCAGAGGCUCAGCUGGAGACAGUGGGCAGAGAAGUGUCUAAUGGACAGUGGACCUGGAGCCACAGCGAAUGUGAGGCUUGGCGGCUCCCAGGGAGUGGAAAUGGCAAACAUCAGCAAUAACAGAAAACAAAAAGGCAAGAUUUUGGAAAGAAAUCCAUAAAUGUUUGUGCUCAAGAGACAGAAAAUCCCACUCAAAUCAACUUAAAUGUUGGGAGCCACUACUUAGAGUCUGAAGAAGAAAAACAUUGCGGAAUCCAGUCGCGCUUAAAAACCAGUGUGCGAUUUCUCAGGCAGGACCACAGGCCGUCACAAAGGCUGAACCCAGCAGACUUCACGGGGAAGCUGCUCUCCCCACAGCAGACCUGGGACACAGCCAGCGCACUGCGGUCUCUGAAGGGGCUUGCAGUGAAGGACUCAGUGCCCCCAGCUGGUAAAUUUACAUUCCCGCCCCACCACCUCUAUUCCUAGGUCUCUAUCUGAAGCUUUGGACAGAAUCUCCCUUAGGCACCUCUGCCUCCUUCUGAAGGGAGGGGGGAACUUGAACACUUUUUCCCUCUCUGACGCAGUACUCAGAACUGGUCCACUCCUAGCCUUUUCCCCACAUGCCUCCACCACCUGCCUCAGGUUCCAAAACUGCUGGAGCCUUUAGUUUGGGCACCCUCAACAGUGAGGUGAUCCCCAUGUAGCUCUGAUGUCCUAGAUCUUCAACGAGGGCCGUUCCAUGGGGGGAAAUGGAACAAGGGGAGUCAACACUUUCUCCACUUUUACCCUCUUGCUUAUUCCAUGGCAGUAAGUAAUGACUUAACUCUUUCA
rnacentral:lncRNA from 1 species